rnacentral:lncRNA from 10 species
AAAAAUCACAUUAGGUAAAUGGAAACCUCUAAUGUCACGAAAUACACCAAUGGGUCCACUCUCUGCUAGAUGGAAUCUACUUAAAAUGCACCACAUGGAGCAAAAAUCUGCCGUUCUAAAGCAACGCUUUAUGUAGUUCCUGGCUUGGACACAUAUGACCAGGUGGAAAUGACCAGCAAAAAUAUAUGGUUAAGUUAGAGUUGGGGAAGCACUGUUUUUUUUUCCUAACUGUAGUUUUUAAUAUCUUUUUUCCUGUUUUAUGAAAAGACAAUGACGUUAUCAAAAAGUAAAUGCAAAAAACAUGGGAGAGGAGCAGAAAAGAUAUCUAUUGGGUACAGAGCUUAAUACCUGGGUGAUGAAAUAAUAUGUACAACAAACCCCCAUGACACACGUUUACCUCCGUAACAAACCUUCAUGUGUACCC